AGUAGCAUUGCUGGGAUCUAUUGGAAGUAUGUUUUACUUUGUUAAAAACUGUCAAACUGUUCUCCAAAAUGGCUGUACAAUUUUGUAGUCUUCCUACCAGCAGU
rnacentral:pre_miRNA from 1 species